UCAGUCCGUUUCUAUGACACUCAAGAAAACCGAAUUAUCGCCUUAUUCCGAUAAAGACCGGACAACUGAAGGUCAUGUAAACACUUUAGUCCGACUAUAAUCUGAGUUUAAGAACUCUGAUUAAAACACCCAGAUAAUGAGAUUGGAAUUAGAUUUUCUCUACCAUGUAACCAGCGUAGUCGGAGUAUGAGGCCACGCCCCCGUAACCCCAUAACAAACCCCCAGAGUAGAGGAGUAGCGUUGGUCUCCUCUUUAGAAAAAGUAGCGCGUCCAUCAUGUCGGACAAAAACAACGCUGUACGAUGCUCCAUCUUCUUGUUUCUCCAGCAGCAGUUGUAGACACUUCUGACGUCUGACACCGAC